GCCUGGGUGGCUCAGUCAGUAAGCGUCUGACUUUGGCUUAGGUCAUGAUCUCACGGCUUGUGGGUUUAAGCCCCACAUCAGGCG
rnacentral:tRNA from 1 species